rnacentral:lncRNA from 1 species
CUAGUCGAUCUCUGCCAGCCAAACCCCAGUUUCCUCGUCUGUAGGCUGGACGCCCUCAUACUGCCUCCCUCAAGGGUAAUUUAGGGGGUUACCCGAGUUCAGCCAUUGAAAGCAGCAGAGCUCGAACGAGACCAACUAGGGCCCUGGGUGCGCUGCCGUCCCAGUUGUUCCCAGGGUCGGCACCCCCUGGCCUUCCAAAUCAGGAAACUGGGCGCAGAGAGAGGAAGUGGCAUGUCCGAGGCCUCCCAGGUCUCCUCCCCGCCGCCCUGGAGCGCCCUCCUCCGUCUGCCCGCGUGGGGCGGGCCCCCGUGCCACCCACCUGGUCGGCGCCGAAGGAGUGGCCUUAGCCAGGGGUGAUGCGCUUUGGAUGAGGCGGGCAGAGGAGCCAGAGCCCAGCGGGCAGAGCUGGAGGAGACACCCAGAUCGCCACCAGAGUUGCCUCUCCCUGGAGGAAGCGCGGGAGCAGCAGCCGCCAGGAUGGGUUGACAAAGGGCAGGUCAUUUCAAAGUCAGCUCCUUCCUUUCUUGGUAGGGUCUUUAGGCUGGCAGAUGUGACAAC